UUGAACGCUGGCGGCAGGCCUAACACAUGCAAGUCGAGCGGAUGAAGGGAGCUUGCUCCUGGAUUCAGCGGCGGACGGGUGAGUAAUGCCUAGGAAUCUGCCUGGUAGUGGGGGAUAACGUCCGGAAACGGGCGCUAAUACCGCAUACGCCCUGAGGGAGAAAGUGGGGGAUCUUCGGACCUCACGCUAUCAGAUGAGCCUAGGUCGGAUUAGCUAGUUUGUGGGGUAAAGGCCUACCAAGGCGACGAUCCGUAACUGGUCUGAGAGGAUGAUCAGUCACACUGGAACUGAGACACGGUCCAGACUCCUACGGGAGGCAGCAGUGGGGAAUAUUGGACAAUGGGCGAAAGCCUGAUCCAGCCAUGCCGCGUGUGUGAAGAAGGUCUUCGGAUUGUAAAGCACUUUAAGUUGGGAGGAAGGGCAGUAAGUUAAUACCUUGCUGUUUUGACGUUACCAACAGAAUAAGCACCGGCUAACUUCGUG
rnacentral:rRNA from 1 species